rnacentral:snRNA from 1 species
AUACUUACCUGGCAGGAGAGAUACUAUGAUCAUGAAGGUGGUUUUCCCAGGGCGAGACUUAUCCAUUGCAGUCCAGAUGUGCUGACCCCCUGCGAUUUCCCCAAUCGUGGGAAACUCGACUGCAUAAUUUGUGGUAGUGGGGGACUGCAUUCACGCUCUCCCCCU